UUAACGUAUUAAAUUGAAUCAUUAAAAGGGUCAACGAUGAAGUCAGUAAUUCUCACCAUAACCGUUCUUUUUGGGAUUGUUAUUUGUACUAGUCAUUGAAGUGAAAAGUAAAAGAUGUCACAAGAGACCAACUGUUGAAGAAUGUCCAGACCCAUUACCCAUAACCUGUGGCAAGAACUGGAACAUAACUGCUAUCACGAAAGAUAAAUUCGUUGGUGCCACGGGAGUAUUGAACUGUUCAGCUGGUUAUUCUUUAUCAGGGAAUUCCAGUAUAAUUUGUUUACAGUCUGGUGUAUGGAGUCCGAUAACAGCUGCUAUAUGUGUUCCUGGUGAUCUCCUCCGACCUACUUAUGUACUUGAUUUCAGGGGUUCGACAUACACAUUUGUUUUUAGAACCAAGACGUAUAAACACGCCAAGGAGUAUUGCCUUUCUAUGUGUGGGACUCUGGUGGAAAUUAACGACAAAGAAGAAAACCAGUUCAUUUAUUCAUUUAUUCAAGAACGUUCUGCAAAGCGUUCCCGAUUUUAUAUUGGACUAGAGUCAAAGAAUGGCAUUUAUUAUGAGUGGCAAUCUAAAAAUACCACAGAAUCAAACGGGUUUAACGAUUGGAACAAGGGAAAGCCAAAUGACAUUGGAGUUAACACUUGUGCUUUUGUGUUAGAUUUUACGUGGUAUGACUUAUAUAGCAGCGCUUGCAGGCUUGAUG